UCCCAAUUGGAAAUAAAAGAGAUUACAGGAAAUCUUAAUUCCACCCUGUUGGUAAUUUCAUUCGUAGCUAUCUACUAGAAUUAUCGCAAUUGUCAACAUAGUUUCCGUUCUAUAACGAUCUUUCUUAUCUAUGUAUAAUUAUCUCGCGUAAUUGAUAUUUUUUCUUAGAAGUCCACAUUCACAUUGAAAUAUUGGAUGACGCAUUGGAAGCUACUACCAUGUCAGGUUACCAUGCCAGAACCCAAAUAAAUCACGUUUAAAACAGAAAGUAAUAGCGGCAUUACUCGAGAAUCACACGAACUAGCUACACUAAGGACUUCCUGCGAGCGAUAAACUGGUCAUUCACCGAUCUUCUCGACCAUCGAACGCGAAUUAAAACACGUCGGAAAUUCAGAAUAAAAGAAUGAAUCACCGGUAUUGUACGACGUGUCUAUCUCCCUGCUUUUCUCACACCGAACCCCUUCUUCUUACACACGCGUAAUUAGUACGUCUGUAAUUAUUAUGUCACUCGGAGUCGAGCGUUCUCGAUCAUAGCAGCAGAGGUCGGGCUGCCCUCGUCUACGAAAUAUUAUUCGCACUUUUGUCGUCCCUUGUUUCUCCUUUUCUACCAGCGAGCCAUUCUCAAUUACUCCGGUAUAUCCAUUAGUGUGGAAAAAAGCGGAGGGAUAAAACGGAAGGGAUGAGGAGCGUUGAAAUGUGGGAAUCGCGCUUUGACAGAGCAUUAAAUAACGGGCAUAUCGCGGCGCGCGUUUCACGCAGCGUGUCGCGCGUUACACGACGCCGACAUAAACGCUGUGGUCACGUAGCCUUUGCGCUGCUGUAGCGCGAUGGAAGUGGGCCGAGAAUUAUUUAUACGUUGGUCGACACAGCUGAUCUCCGGCGCGCGAGCGCGCGUCCUCUUCUACCUUUUCUCUUCGCCUGUAUUUUUGUGCGGCCAGCCGAGAACACAGGAUCGGCUCGCACAGAGAAAAACGAUGGUGCGAUCGUAUAUGUGCGGAAUAUCACGAAGGAAGGAAGAGGAAAGAGAAUUAGACAGAAGGAAACAAAGAGAAAGAGAAAGAAGAUGGAAGGAAAGAGGAAGAAGAAAAGACUUUGUGUACCUCACUGACUGUGUGGACGCAGCAGAACGAAAAAGCAUAUUCGAUCUGGUGCCGGCUAGAAAUAGCAACGGCAGACUGAAAUAAACGCAACGUCGCAACGCGCGUCGACAAAGAAUCUCUCUCGGUUUUCAUGACGCUGUCACCGACCCCCAUCCCACCACCGGACUCGCUUUUUCUCUCUACGCUCUUCUCACCGUCGCGUCACAGCUCGCAGCCACGAUCCAACAUCGUCGUAAAAUUACCGAUGGCUUUAAAAACGCAAGACAGUUUCAUCUUUGAAGAAAUUCAUGGACGGUUUUCAGCAACCAGUAAAAGCCAGUUUAAAUCCGACAGCGAGAUAAAUUGCUGUGUUUAUCGGUCGCGAUUAAACGUACGUCAAGAUAAACUGAGAAAGAAAAAGAGGAGGAAACAAUGCCGAGAGAAACACAAUGUUACUGUAUAAACAUUAAUCGACGAAAUCGCGUGACAGUGUACAAAGUACAAGUUGCUGUUUAUCGAAAGUUACGUCGUUGUUCUCUUCUGUCGAUAAUGUAGGCUGCUGUCUGUAGUAUCUUGAAUACUUCUCACAUUUGUUGAGAAACAUGAUAUGUAGAUUUUAUCAUUUAUCACAUAUUUGUCAUCGAAGCAAGUUGCCUCGAGUUAAUAAUUCUGAACUGUUAAGUAGCAUUAGACAAAUAAGAUUCUUAGCUUUUAAUUAAAGUCGCUCUAGAAUGAUAAUUGUUUUUCUGUUUCACUCUGUUUACAAUGGUAAUCAUGAACUCUACGCAAACGUAUUACAAAUUGCAUCCCUUUUGGAGGAACGUAAAUAUUAAUACGAGAAUUGGGAGAAACUACAGAAGCGCUACCUUCCGUGUGUCCGUAGCAACGUAUGCUUCUGUAUUAGCUGUCAGGAAUCGAAUAAAAUGAUCUGGUCGAAACCUAAUACUUAUCUUCUGUUCAUGAAUACAAACGGUAGUGGGGCGAUCUUGGUUACAACUGCAUAUGCGAGAUGGUAAUAAAUCUCUGCCAUAAUUCAGUUAAAAAUGAAUGUCAUCAAUGUAUUUGGUUUCGGUUCGGGUUAGCGUUUUCAAUCCGAUCGCCGCGAAACCGCUUGCGUGGGACGAUAGCAAUUCUCAAAAAAUUGUUUAAGAUUUCGAUUUCUACAACAUAUCCAAAAAUUAUCGAAAUCAGAGAGGAAGGAAAUUUUUUGCCGUUUCAUUUAGUUCUUUGAAUAAACAGAAUUGACAAAGCAAAGAAUGCAGCCUUCAGUGAAAUAUAAUGUGCAAAGAGGUUAUGAAGCGCGACAUAUGGCAUAAGUUGUUUCGAACUUCUUUGUAUCUCAAUAAAAGAUGCUCGACAUAUUAAAACUCUCGUUCUUCGAUAAACAAGAGAAAAAAGAAGAAAGACAUAGACAUCCUCGAGAUUUCCGAUUUCCCCAUAUAGUAAUCCACUAGAGGUUACGAGCAAGAACGUGGUCGCAUUUCAACGCGUCGCGUCGUACCGUACGCGACGGGUGUUUCUUCAACUAAACACAUAACAUACACAAUAUGUAUCGAGACACGGAUACGUGAAGCGAGAAGUCAACUGCCCGGUACACACACGAAUCUGUAUAAAGGGUAUAUCCAUUGCAUAAUCAUUAUAAAUGCACCGUGCGUUAACUUACACUGGCACACUGAAAUUUUCGUUCCGCUUUCGAACGUCGCACCACCUAAUCGUUGCAUUCAAUUUACAGAACAUUUGCAUCGAAGAUUUAUACGUGUAACGUCGCGUUGUUGUCUGAAAGAAAUUUAUUCGUUCCGAAAUUGUUCCAGCUGUUAGUUACGUCUAGAUACAUAUAUUAAGCUAUGCCAGAAUAUAGUAUCUGUACUUUAAAUUAUAUUUACAAUAUUAUAUUUUUAUUUAAAUCUUUCUCAAAAAAUAUUAUUGAUGACAAAUACAGUAUCAGGCACAGCUAUUUUAAAUUUAUAUACUUAACAUAACUUACAUUAUACUGCUAAUCCUGAAUGUAACAAAUCUUUGAUACUGAUAUUUAGAUUAAAUAUCCAAAAAAACGCAACUAGAUAGUAACAGAAUGGGAAGCGUUGCUCUAUUUUCAAUUGAACGCAAUAUGUGGGAUGGAGUAUCAAUGUCAUGUCAUCUUAAAUUGGCGCGGUAUACCAGUCAAGCAUGGAUGUGAGAAUCAGAGCUCGGUGGAUUCAUAACCGUAACUCGACUCGUCAUCUUUGGUGCUAUCGUCUCGUUGUAAACAAGCUUAAGCAGUCCAGUGUGCCUGCCGGCGCUAUGUAGGUUACUAUCCCAACGGUCUGCGCCUCCUCGACCCGCCUUUAAGGUCGUUUACAGCGUAACCCGAACCCACUUCUUCUUUUCAUCAUCUUCUUCCUUCGCCUCUUUUUUUCACUCUUUUACCGUUUCUCGUAAUCCUUUUGAAAUGACUGUUUCGCGUAAAAAAUAGGCGUCUUUAGUAACUGUAGAUUAAACGUGCAACGCGGUGAUUUCUAACGUAAAGUAUGAUUUGCUUUUCGAAUUAUUUGAUCACAGAGAAACCUUAAAUUGCAGCAUGGUGUUUUGAAAUAAAGAUCAGAAAUGAACCUAUACAUCUACAAUUGAGACGAACAUUUUUCGAAACCAGGACGAAUAUUAUAAUAGAAAGAGUCAUCAAUUCGAGUCACACUGUUUCCUGUAAUAAAAUUAUCCACUAGGUAUCAUUACCCUGCUUUCCCUUAGAAGCACACGAGACUUAUAAUUUUCUGAAUAGUCAUUACUUUUUCGAGUGUUAAUUUCAGGUAUAAGAUUACAAAUCGGAUCAGAGGAACUCGAAAAUGAUCCUCAUCCGGAUCUACAUCCGGUCGUACUUUAUAUUUAUGCUUUUUUGCAAAUAGAAUAAAGGAUUACCAAUAUACGUAAAUACCGAGAUCUCGCAUACAAAAACAAAUAUUGUUCCAACACCCAGACAUACAUACGAGUUGUAUAUAUAACCAUGUCGUCAUUAAACAGUACGUUUCAAAUCACUCAAUAAAUUAGCUCCAUAUUACGCAAUACUACAGAAUAAAACCCACAGGUUAACUUCGAAUUUUCAUAUGACUUUAAAUUCGUGAAAUAUUAGAUCGGACAAUACUGGCUCUCACGAAUGAAACCAUAAAUGUACAUAUGAUACUGUAAAAGAUGUUAUAAUAUACUGCGCAUGCAAAUUAUUUGGCAUGAAUAUUUAUUCGCACUUUCGCGGCAUAUCCAUAACGACUUACAGCGAUUUUGCGAGGUACGUGCGGGAGGUAUCACGCAUCGUGACCGCAUAACGCGUUUUCUGAUUCUUUUUUCUGGCUGUGGCGCACGCGCUCGCCAACCUCGUGGCUGCUCCUGAUGCGCUUACCCAACGUUGUUAGCAGCGCCGCGCUGCCGUUAGCUGUGUCGAUGAUCUUUGGUUGUGGUCGUGCGACGUACACGUAUAAGUUACGCUCUAAGAAUUACCGGGUAGUGGAGUAUCACGUGACGCCGCCUUGUGGGUAUAUAAAGACGACCGACGGCUAGUGGAAUCAGCCACUUGAGAACUGGCUCCGAGGUUCGUGCAGUGGUUUGUAGCUUCUAUAGCGAUCGAGAAUCGCCGAAUACGAUUGUUUAUCUCAAAGCACAGAGGUGGAGAAAGAGAAAACUAUCGAAGAAAUGGCUUUGUAUUUUAUUGCUCCCGAUACUGACGAAAGAAAAGUGAGAAGGGAGGAAAAUUGUAUACGUGAAUUGAUAAUGAAUCUUGGGAAAAGGCUCGCAUAAAAAUUGUUUAAGGUAGGUCGUUGGUUCUGAUGACCGGUAGAAAAAUGACGUAGUCCGAUUAUCGGCUGUUUGAACGUCAUAGAGAAGCGGGUGACACGCACGCGCAGAACGUUGCCCCUUAGCAAGAAUGGUGAAGCUGAGACACGUACUUACAUACACAUAUAUGUAUGUCACGGAUGCGCAUGCCUUCUACGCUAUAAAUCAUUGAAACAUAAUGUGGUAUAUUAUAUAUCCGAACAUGAUAUCGUAGUCGACGAUCACGCAUACACACGUGGUUAAUAUAAUAUGGAUUCGGAGACUCCGUAAUUAUAUCGACAAUCGAUCAGACUAUCUAUGUAUAUAGAGAACGACGUUAACGUCGGUUAGAAACUGAGCGGAGUACAUACUUUCGAAGCGGAAAGAUCUGCCACGAUUAGAAUCUCGUUUUAUACGCAUAUAUUUGUCACGUCUGGUAGAACGCGUGAGCGUUCCACACUCUGAGGAAGAGAGACAGGGAAAGACGCCGCGUCAGACUGUGUGCAUCGGUUCCAAGGCUCUCUCCGAGCACUGCCUCCCGAGGAUUUCAACUUCUUUUUGUCCGGCGUUCAAGGUGAACCCGUACGAGAAAAAAAUUCCCGCGUCCUCCAACUGAGACACUAACACCGGAUGGAAAAUAUACUGACCCACUGACUCAUAGGGGAUUUCCGGCAUUAGCUUGCAUUUGCUACGUGCUAUAGUAACUACCGAGCACGACGUCCUUAAAAGUCUCGUUACGUCUUGCAAAAACCGUUCAUUACCCGACCAUAAAUGUAACUGAGGUCGUUAUCUCAAAAACCAACGGAAUAUUAAUUUGUUAAAAGGCAUACUUAUUUUCGUGAGUUAAUAGUAAAAGUUAGCCAGAAAUUAAAAGAUUUGGAGAUUAUAUUCGAAGCUCUAUAGUAUGUAGCCGUGCAGAACAGAGAGAAAGAUGAAGGUCUCGAAGAAAUUUCCGGAUGUCGAAUGCUUAGCUCAGCACAGUUAAUCGCGACCUAGACAUCAUCGCGACUGUCGAGAGACAGUUAAAUUUAUAACAGACGGAUUAGAUCCACGUUUACGGAUCGUUUUAAUGGCGGAGGAACGCGCAAACGAAGAAACGAUCGGACGAUUUCGUGAUUGCCCUAACUGCGAGUCAGCUAAUAAAAGACGUUGCGCAAUCGUGGACGUUGGUGUUGCGCUGUAGAUAAUAAUAAGAACAUAGACUGGUAAAGUGGAAGGGGUGGGUGAGAGACGGCAAAGGAUAGGUUCUCUUUCCUUCUCUCUCUCUAUCUAUCUAUCUAUCUAUCUAUCUAUCUAUCUUCUAUCUCCCUGCCUCUGUUGUAUGUGCGCGUCCAUGUUCCUUCUUUCGAUAUUGUCGAUGGAUCGCUGUGUGCACGCGCGAAUGCACAAACAUAAUAAUUUGUCGCGGAUGAGUUGUCGCGAGUUACAGCGGCCGCGCACUAGUGCACUGGUGCAACGAAAUCGAAGAGAAACUCUCCCGACCCAACUCGUACGCUAUUUACAGCUUCUUUCGAGUAACGAGUUACUAGGUUGAUUGUCCCGAGUCUUCAGGAAACGUACUAUCCUCUUCUCGUAUUACUAUAUUCUCUAUCUUUGAUCUUUCUUCUUCGUCAUUUAUAUAUUUUCUAAAAAAUCAUCAUUUUCAUGCACUUCUAUCUAACUUUCAUUCGAUGGCGCUGUUUCCGCCUUUCGUAUUCACUUUCGACAAAGAAAUGUCCGUAAAUAGGAUCAUUAGAAUGGAGAAUCGAUACGUUAACCUGACCACGUUAAUUAAAUUGUGAAAUUUCUAUCGUGAUUACUCACGGCCGAACGUUGCCACGGUAUCGUUUCUUGGAGAAACACGCGUCUACGAGAAUACUAAUCGACGUUAACCUCUUUGCUGUGGCCAUACUCUCCACCACCGUCCGUAAUCUGCCUUUCUCGUGGCCGUGUCUUUAUUUUACCAGUAGAAAGGAAAGGUCGCUUGAGGAUAGACAAAUAAGACGGAAUCGGCGCGAAGAGGCAUAUCGGGGAACGAUUGCCCGACGGUCGUUAUGCGUGAUAGAUGUUAUACCGCUAUAUGUAUGCUGCAGUGUGGCCACAGAGUUUUCUCUGGCUCGUUUAGCAAAAGCUGGGAACCACGAGAAAUCCGAUCGUAAUUACUUCCGGCUCGCCGAGGCCUUCUAGGGAACGUUGAGAAAACGGAAAUUCACUUUCUUUACCUUGGCACCAUACUUACCUCUAUGUUCCUCUAUCUUGUUUUCUUUCUCUCUUCUCCUUUCUCUCCGUCUCCCUCUUUAAAUGACCCGACGUCUGCGCGAUAUGCACGCACACAUAUGCAUACAUAUCGUGUGUGUAUGGUCGUGAUUCUUAUACAUCGACGAUUCGUUUAACAAAAUGUUCAGGGUCAGCAUACGUAUGUAGAUAGAUGGGACACCUGCAUCGAGUAUUGUCUUUCCGCGACUUUCCGACUUUCCUAACCACAGACACGUAUAUGCCUGUGUAAUCAUUGUAAAUAAUUACUACUAGCGCUUAGCAAUUAAUCGAGUUAUCUUGUGAUAAAAGACAGUUGAUAUUCGUACAAAGGCGACUGUCGAAACGUGCACUUAGAAACUCGUUCCUUGGCACUCGAUCAAAGUAUGUUGGAAUCUGUAACAUUAUUCGGAAUAUUAUUUUGGAUCGUUUCUCUGAUGAUCAAGCAUUUCACUCGUACACCCUUCAUCGUAAAACAAUUUUUUAUCGCGAAUAUUUAGAAUGGAAUUCAAACGUAAAAAUAUGGCCGAAUGAACACUGAUACAUUCAACGCCAUCUGUUUGCAGUCCAUCGUUUGACGAUACAUUUUACGAGCAUUGUUCUCCAAACUGCGUUUUCAUAGAUAUAAAUAUUAUUUACAAGUAUACAUAAAAGAAAACUUGUUUUUCACUUCGUAUACGAUACGACGAGGACGUUAAACGUAAAAUUGAUGUUGAUUAUCCAAAAUAUAGUGACGUUACCGUGAAGUUGUAGUUUGUGACGUAAAUGUUCGCAGUUGAAGUGAUGAGAUAAACGCGCCAUGACAGCCGUAGUGUACUUAAACCUUUCGUUUGUUUGGUUGAAAUUUGCGUAAAAUAGAUUUCGCGUAGCCAUUG